rnacentral:rRNA from 1 species
GAUGAACGCUGGCGGCGUGCCUAAUACAUGCAAGUCGAGCGAACGGACGAGAAGCUUGCUUUUCUGAUGUUAGCGGCGGACGGGUGAGUAACACGUGGAUAACCUACCUAUAAGACUGGGAUAACUUCGGGAAACCGGAGCUAAUACCGGAUAAUAUUUUGAACCGCAUGGUUCAUAAGUGAAAGACGGUCUUGCUGUCACUUAUAGAUGGAUCCGCGCUGCAUUAGCUAGUUGGUAAGGCAACGGCUUACCAAGGCAACGAUGCAUGGCCGACCUGAGAGGGUGAUCGGCCACACUGGAACUGAGACACGGUCCAGACUCCUACGGGAGGCAGCAGUAGGGAAUCUUCCGCAAUGGGCGAAAGCCUGACGGAGCAACGCCGCGUGAGUGAUGAAGGUCUUCGGAUCGUAAAACUCUGUUAUUAGGGAAGAACAUAUGUGUAAGUAACUGUGCACAUCUUGACGGUACCUAAUCAGAAAGCUACGGCUAACUACGUG